rnacentral:lncRNA from 1 species
CUCACACCAGUGUCCUGGAAGUGUGAAAGUUAUGAUGAUGCUAUAAAAUUCAAUGAAGAAUCUAGUUUUACUGUUUCAGUUGAUAAUACUGUUUGUGCUUGGGAUUGCCGUAGCAAGUCUUGCGAGCCUAUUCAGUUUGUCAGUGAAAGGUCCUUUGAAAAUUUUCAAAUUCUGGCAUAUAAGUAACAGUUGAAGUAAAUUGUUGAGAUAGAGAGAACUUUUUAUCUUGGUUCAGUGAACUGUGUUAACUUCACAAAAUAUGUCUGUGUUCUUGCUAGCUGUUUAGACAAUACUUUGCGACUUACAGAUAAAGAAGGGGGUGAAGUGCGUUCUGAGCACACAGGCCAUAAAAAUGAGAGGUAAAGGAUAGAAAGUUUCCUCAAUGACACAAAUUCUCACGCAGUUUCUGGAUCUGAAGAUGGUUGUGUUUACAUGAGGGACCUAAUUGAACAAACACGAAAAAGAAAUUUCCCUGCUUGGGUUACCAACACAGUAGCUGGGAUUGAAAGAAGGCAUCGAGAGAAGAUGGAAAUUUUUAACAAAUACUUAAACUUUGUAUCGAAAAUUGAAAAAUGAUUUAACACUUAUUUUAAAAUCUUGCAACAGACUUCUCUCCUUGUAACGAUUUCUGUGUUUAAAUAUUUUAUUAUUUUUAAUUUGGUGCUUUUCAAAAACACUUUUUCAUCAAACUUCUUAAAAAAUUUAAUACAAAUAUUUGUUAUUCACCCGUAUCAGUUUAAAUAUUAAAGCUAUUAAUAGAAAUCUGGAAAAAAAUUAAUAAAUAUGAUCUUUUCAUCACUGCACGCAAUUAUAUCUACAAAAAGGAGUGCUUUCUAAUAUUGUAUCAAUGUAGCUAAAGCAAAAUAUAUCAAUACAACAGUGUGAGGAGCACUUAAAAAACUAAAAAAAGCAAUCCUUUUUGCAGACAUAAUCAUCUGAGCUGAUGAAGAAAUAUCUUCUUUUUCUCCAGAUUUUUAUUAUUAUAUUUUUUUAAUAAUGUUAAUAAUUUUCUUUUUCUCUUUUUUCAUUAUUUUGUAAUUUUUUUCAUGU